CUUUAGUAAGAUGAAGUUUGGAGAAUUGUUUUUUUCUUAUCUUGUAUCGUCUGAAUUUAUUUUCUUCUUUUCUUGCCCAGCUGUAUUAAUUAGGUUGCUGGAGAGUCAAACAUACAAAGAAGCAUUUCAAUAAAAGGUGGUAUCUUCUACAGAUGAGGUGUACAUGAAGAUCACAGGGAAAAGAUCCUUAAGUUUCACCCGAGGAACUAGAACGUUUCUUCACAGAGGCGGUGGCUGAGUAAUACAUUGCCCUGAAACUGAUAAGCCAGAAGGCUAAAGAAGUUUCAAGGAAGUAAGGCAGAAGUCUUGCACAGAAGGCAGCUAUCAGCGUACGAGAGAUUCAAAGAUUGCAUGGAUCCCAGAUCGAGAACUGGUUGAAUGCCUUAGAGAAGACCCGGGCUCCACACUUUGGAAGAGUUGAGUCUGAAAUCAGGAAAUUGGACUCUUCUGGAAUCUCUGACUUUUUAUUGUCCUUGUGGAAGUGUGACAAGUCACUCUUGAAUGGCAACGUCCAAGCUUUCUUGAUGGCAGACAGAGCAGCUACUAGACUUUCGAUCUCUUUUCCACUGGAGUUGUUGAUAGGAAGAUGUGAGGUCUGUGACUACAGUCUUCGUGUUCAGUCAUGUAAGUCUGGAACUGAGGAGACCACUGAAUGGAGCCGCUGUGUGCCGCUGGGUGUGUGGAAGGCAGAACAGAGAGACAGCAAGGAACUGGGUCCUUGGUGACAUUCUUUGAACAAUAGAUCAAGCCUCAUCUGAACUCAUGGCUAUCUACUAUGCGUGUUAUAACUUUUAGUCACAUGAUUGUUAUCUAUUUGGAUUUAACUCUAAGUAUUCCUGCCUUUCAGCUCCAGAGAGUCUGUGGGGUUAGCCGAAGCUCCCAGGCCUGGAUCACAGCUUGAUUUCUUCCUCUACGCAAUCCUGCUUCUCUUCCACAGGGGUUGAUCCCAAGGACACUCUCUAAUAAAAAUCCUGCAUAGGAAAUUCCA
rnacentral:lncRNA from 1 species